AAGGCCGAGAUACCUGUCGGAUCGUUGGCGCUAACCAUUAAUCCCAAAAGCUCGAGCUGUUAGAAAUACACAACCAAUUCACUUAAAUCGUACAGAAACAGCGCCCACGGGUCUCGAUUGUGACUCGGCCCACCUGGCCUCACGCCACUUCGAACAUGACUCGGCCCAACCCAGCCUUACGCCAUUUCAAACAUGACUCGGCCCACAUGACCUCCCGCCACAGGGCAGGAUGCUGGUCCAUUUAAGCCAACAAUUCCCCCUCUAGCACCUACACACAUUUGCAGCAUGCAGGAAUCGAACCCGUGACCUCUGGCUCUGAUACCACUUGUCGGAUCGUUGGCGCUAACCAUUAAUCCCAAAAGCUCGAGCUGUUAGAAAUACACAACCAAUUCACUUAAAGCGUACAGAAACAGCGCCCACGGGUCUCGAUUGUGACUCGGCCCACCUGGCCUCACGCCACUUCGAACAUGACUCGGCCCAACCCAGCCUCACGCCAUUUCGAACAUGACUCGGCCCACAUGGCCUCCCGCCACAGGGCAGGAUGCUGGCCCAUUUAAACCAACAAUACCUGUUCCAACCAUCUCUGUUGCCAGCGACCCCUCCGUUGUGAAGCAUGA
rnacentral:lncRNA from 1 species